CUUCUUCUAUCUGCUGGGGACAGAUGAAAUGGAUAUGCGUAUCGAUACCACCAGCCGUGAUAAUCUUGCCCUCUCCCGCAAUGACAUCGGUGCAGCUACCCACCACCAUCCCCGGCGUAACACCCUCCAUAACGUCCGGGUUUCCAGCCUUGCCAAUACCCACGAUCAAUCCAUCCUUAACGCCGAUAUCAGCCUUGUAUAUACCCGUCCAGUCCACAAUCAACGCAUUGACAACGACCAAGUCCAAGGUCCUCGAAUCCGGCCGCCCGGUAGCCUGUCCCAUGCCCUCCCUCAG
rfam:Valsa mali strain 03-8 chromosome 6, whole genome shotgun sequence.